AUGGGAGAUAGACUGUCCAUCACUUUUUCCUGGAGACUGACACCUGCUUCAAAGCGUGUGUGUGUGUGUGUGUGUGUGUGUGUAUGUGUGUGUAUGUGUGUGCAUGCACUUGCAGUCAUAUACGAUUUGCAGUGGCCAGUCUGUGGAUUUGGAUUUCAUUAUGCUGUUGAGCAUGUGUCUGUGAGUCUGUUUGCCAGGUGCAUAUGUGUGCUUGGGACUGUGUGGGCAUCCCUGGAGCCCUGUGCUUGUUCUUGGAGAAGCCCAAAGAAGAGGGGCUCAGGACAUUUCUGGCUGGCAACACCCCACCUCCAGGCCUGCUACCCCACCUCCCCGACCACACCCCAUCCUGCCUAUAUUGUAGUUUGUACUUUCAUUUGGUGGUUCCUGUUCCUGUGCUCUUGUCCAGUGUUCAAGAAGAAUGAGGAUUCGCUGACAGUUGAAGGUCGCCCACUACCGCAAAUUAUGCAGUCGAGUUUCCCACAUUUGGGGAAAUCGCAGGGGUCAGCACAUCCAGAGUGCAAUGGAUAAGCCUUGCCCUGGGAAACCCACCUUUGUGAUCAUGGUAUCUCCCCUGCCAGUCAUCUGGAGGUGUCCAGUGGAGGACUCUAAGCGAAUAGAGGGAGCUUUCGUCCCGGAAUCACCUCUUGGAGGAGAGCUGUGCAGAAAAGACACCCAGUUUGCAUCAGCCUAUUGAUUGG
rnacentral:lncRNA from 1 species